rnacentral:rRNA from 1 species
UACGUAGGUGGCAAGCGUUGUCCGGAUUUACUGGGCGUAAAGAGCGCGCAGGCGGUCGUUCAAGUCGCGUGUGAAAGCCCCCGGCUCAACUGGGGAGGGUCACGCGAUACUGAUCGACUCGAAGGCAGGAGAGGGAAGUGGAAUUCCCGGUGUAGUGGUGAAAUGCGUAGAUAUCGGGAGGAACACCAGUGGCGAAGGCGACUUCCUGGCCUGUUCCUGACGCUGAGGCGCGAAAGCUAGGGGAGCAAACGGG